UACCAUAUCAUAGAAGUACAUUGAUAAUACCAUGUCAUAGAAGUACAUUGUUAAUACCAUAUCAUAGAAAUACAUUGUUAAUACCAUUUCAUACAAAAAACUCAAAAAACCCAAAAAAAAGCCCAGUAAGACAUCCGGUAUCCUUUGCAGAAACCACCUCCAAUUGUUCACAGUUUCACCAUAAACAAUCGCAAAGGGAAAACGAAAUACCUCU
rnacentral:lncRNA from 1 species